rnacentral:rRNA from 1 species
AAAGGAAUWGRSGGGGSCCCGCACAAGCGGGGGACAUGUGGUUUAUUCGAAGCAACGCGAAGAACCUUACCAGGUCUUGACAUACUCGUGCUAUCCUUAGAGAUAAGGAGUUCCUUCGGGACACGGGAUACAGGUGGUGCAUGGUUGUCGUCAGCUCGUGUCGUGAGAUGUUGGGUUAAGUCCCGCAACGAGCGCAACCCUUAUUACUAGUUGCCAUCAUUAAGUUGGGCACUCUAGUGAGACUGCCGGUGAUAAACCGGAGGAAGGUGGGGAUGACGUCAAAUCAUCAUGCCCCUUAUGACCUGGGCUACACACGUGCUACAAUGGAUGGUACAACGAGUCGCCAACCCGCGAGGGUGCGCUAAUCUCUUAAAACCAUUCUCAGUUCGGAUUGCAGGCUGCAACUCGCCUGCAUGAAGUCGGAAUCGCUAGUAAUCGCGGAUCAGCACGCCGCGGUGAAUACGUUCCCGGGCCUUGUACACACCGCCCGUCACACCACGGAAGUUGGGAGUACCCAAAGUAGGUUGCCUAACCGCAAGGAGGGCGCUUCCUAAGGUAAGACCGAUGACUGGGGUGAAGUC